GAUGAACGCUGGCGGCGUGCCUAAUACAUGCAAGUCGAGCGAACGGACGAGAAGUUUGCUCCUCUGAUGUUAUCGGCGGACGGGACCGUCACAUGUGGUUAACCUACCUCUCCGACUGGGAUACUUUCGGGAAACCGGAGCUUAUACCGGAUGAUUUUUUGAACUGCAUGGUUCAAACGUUAAAGACGGUAUUGCUGUCACUAAUAGAUGGAUCCGCGCUGCAUUCGUUAGUUGGUAAGGUAACUGCUUACCAAGGCAACGAGGCAUAGACGACCUGAGAGGGUGAUCGGCCACACGGUAACUGAGACACGGUCCAGACUCCGACGGUAGGCAGCAGUAGAGAAUCUUCCGCAAUGGGCGAGAGCCUGACGGAGCAACGCCGCGUGAGUGAUGAAGGUCUUCUGAUCGGAAAACGCUGUUAGUAGUGAAGAACAAAUGUGUAAGUAACUGUGCACAUCUUGACGGUACCGAAUCAGAAAGCCACGGCUAACUACGUG
rnacentral:rRNA from 1 species